rnacentral:rRNA from 1 species
UCAGAACGAACGCUGGCGGCAGGCCUAACACAUGCAAGUCGAGCGCAGUCCUUCGGGACCGAGCGGCGGACGGGUUAGUAACGCGUGGGAACAUACCCUUUUCUACGGAAUAGCCUCGGGAAACUGAGAGUAAUACCGUAUAAGCCCUUCGGGGGAAAGAUUUAUCGGGAAAGGAUUGGCCCGCGUUAGAUUAGAUAGUUGGUGGGGUAAUGGCCUACCAAGUCUACGAUCUAUAGCUGGUUUUAGAGGAUGAUCAGCAACACUGGGACUGAGACACGGCCCAGACUCCUACGGGAGGCAGCAGUGGGGAAUCUUAGACAAUGGGCGCAAGCCUGAUCUAGCCAUGCCGCGUGUGUGAUGAAGGUCUUAGGAUCGUAAAGCACUUUCGCCAGGGAUGAUAAUGACAGUACCUGGUAAAGAAACCCCGGCUAACUCCGUGCCAGCAGCCGCGGUAAUACGGAGGGGGUUAGCGUUGUUCGGAAUUACUGGGCGUAAAGCGUACGUAGGCGGAUCAGAAAGUAGGGGGUGAAAUCCCAGGGCUCAACCCUGGAACUGCCUCCUAAACUCCUGGUCUUGAGUUCGAGAGAGGUGAGUGGAAUUCCAAGUGUAGAGGUGAAAUUCGUAGAUAUUUGGAGGAACACCAGUGGCGAAGGCGGCUCACUGGCUCGAUACUGACGCUGAGGUACGAAAGUGUGGGGAGCAAACAGGAUUAGAUACCCUGGUAGUCCACACCGUAAACGAUGAAUGCCAGUCGUCGGGCAGUAUACUGUUCGGUGACACACCUAACGGAUUAAGCAUCCG